rnacentral:rRNA from 1 species
UACAGAGGGUGCGAGCGUUAAUCGGAAUUACUGGGCGUAAAGCGUGCGUAGACGGUUAUUUAAGUCGGGUGUGAAAUCUCGGAGCUUAACUCCGAAACUGCAUUCGAUACUGCCGUGCUUGAGGACUGGAGAGGAGACUGGAAUUUACGGUGUAGCGGUGAAAUGCGUAGAUAUCGUAAGGAAGACCAGUGGCGAAGGCGGGUCUCUGGACAGUUCCUGACGCUGAGGCACGAAGGCCAGGGGAGCAAACGGG